rnacentral:tRNA from 1 species
GCGGGUGUGGUGGAAUUGGCAGACACGUAAGAUUCAGGUUCUUAUGCCGUUAAAAGCGUACAGGUUCAAGUCCUGCCACCCGCACCA